CAGCAGCCGCGGUAAUACGGAGGGUGCAAGCGUUAAUCGGAAUUACUGGGCGUAAAGCGUGCGUAGGCGGUUCGUUAAGUCUGUUGUGAAAGCCCCGGGCUCAACCUGGGAAUGGCAAUGGAUACUGGCGAGCUAGAGUGUGUCAGAGGAUGGUGGAAUUCCCGGUGUAGCGGUGAAAUGCGUAGAGAUCUGGAGGAAUACCGGUGGCGAAGGCGGCCCCCUGGACGAAGACUGACGCUCAGGUACGAAAGCGUGGGGAGCAAACAGAAUUAGAUACCCCUGUAGUCCCUGUCUCUUAUAC
rnacentral:rRNA from 1 species